ACUAACAGUUGGAGCAUGGCAGAAGGCUAAAGCAGGGAGAGUGGGCUAUCCCUCAGUAAUCCCUGAUCCCUGAAUGGGUUAUCCCUCUGUGAUCCUGUGAGUCUUCACAGGCAUGGCAUUUUGCUGCCUGUGUGCUAAGCUGACCCGCACAGGAGCUGGGCACAGUAUGCCCGCAGGAGCAGGGCUCAGUAUACCAUGCAUGGGGAAACAGCAGGUAGGAUGGCUCUUCAGAUUCUCAUUAGAACACAAGAACCAUGUGCUGAGACCUCAGUAGCUUAGAAACAAGCAGUGUAUGUACUACCUCAUCUUGGCUAGUAGGUGUUCCUUUCUUCUCAGGGCCUUCUCAUAUUUCACUAAUGUCCCUGCACCAUGCAGGACACUGCAGGAGCUGGCAUGCAUCCUCACGCCCAAGGAGCCUUGAGAACGAGCUCUCCACGGUAUGCACCAUGAUGAUGGGAGCCGUUGGAGUCUGGAAUACAUCGUUUUUGCCUCCCCCCACUUUCUGGGGAAGAAUCAAGAAAAAGGAAACAGAAAACAUUAGGUGAUGGAAGAUGUUGUGUUCAAGCCUCCUUUCUUCUCCCACUUUCAUUCUAAGAACUUCUGAGAACAGGAAACUGGGCUGUGUACUUUCUCGUGCUCUGUGGAAGCCGGACAUACAAACCCUUUGCUGUAUAUUCCCCAUGAUCCUGGGUGCCUACUGGAUGCUUCUCCAUGGGACUGGUGUUGCGACCAGACCUGCUUUACCCAAAGAAUGAAUGGAUGCCGUCCAACUUGCUUAUCCCAUCUUUCCCAGAGAGUCUUAACUAGUAAGGGAACAUUUCAGUAAAUGAGACCUGAGACCACAGUUUGUACAAGAGACCAACAGAUUUUGAUUUUCAGAGAUCGAAAUAAUUUCAAGUAGAUGAAGCCAUACCCACGUGAAUUUUGUUCCCCAACUUAAAGUGAUUCGCAGAUUUAAAAAUCACGAAUUGUGUUUGGUUGAAAGACAUCAUCUGAAUGAGGAACGUGGGAAAUAUGAGGUACCCUUUCACACAGAUGACAAGAAACAAAGGUCUGCCAUGUGCAAAGGCACCUGGCUUGACUGGAGUGGUUUUUGUGAGGACCACAAGAGACUGAAGUUUACUUCCCCAUCAAGCUUGAACACCGAUUUUUGUCUAGCCAUCUAACCAAGUACACAUAGGGGUAACAUCAGGUGAAUCAAGACAUGUUUUGAUAUAAGACAUAGCUAAUAAAAAUUAGCAGUAUCUAUCUCCUCUAUCUUGGUUGCACUCUCUUCCUUCUUAUUGCCUUGGAAUUCUCGACUUGUUGACUGGGUAUCCAGAGUAUCCAGAGGGAAAUACCUGGGUUAUCUGGCACUCACUACAUGGGGCGGGAAGAGUCCGAAUGGAUGAAUCACUUUGGACUCUUUAUAACACAGAGUCCAUUUCUACACCCAGAAAGGUAAUACCACCAGAAGAUGUUUAAAGCAUUUUAUUAGGGAGUGGACUUCGGGAUCUUCAAAGGAAAGGUGAAGACAUCUUCCAAAUUAUUCACAAGUGACAGGCACCUUCCUUGUAUAAAAAUCCAGUGUUCUCAGACUUUGUCCUACAGUUCAGAGACACAGUUGACAGUUUUCUCCUCGCCUGGACCUGAAUUUUACAUAAUUCAUCUUGCAGAUAAAUAAGAGAAAAAGAACAUUUUCUCUUUACUUACAAGGCUGCAUUACGACACAGAGCAGACACAUAGUUAGAAGAAUCAUUCUUUAUCGAGAAGAAAAUCCUGAAGUCCAUUUCUCUAUGAUACUGGGGGUCUCCAUGGUAACCACUUAAGGCUUGGUGAUCUGCAGAUGGCCAGGCUACUCAGGCUGAGACCUCUAGGCACACAAGCGCCACCUAGUGAGAAAAUCGUCUUCGAAACUUUUCAAGGACCCAAAUUUAUUCAUUUCCUAUGGAAAAAUAAUUAACUUUACACAGACAUGCCUAUAAUUUUAAAUAUUUUAGCAUAGAAUCCUAAUUUUGAAAUCAAAAGACUAGAGCUAGUGAGAUGGUCCAACAACUAGGAAACUCAAAGAUCUGACCAACGCUUUGUGUUAGUUACAAUUUGGUUUAGAUUCUUUGCACUCAUGCAUACUUCCAAAAGUGCUGACGUGUUAUGUUUCAAAUAUAAAGAAAAUCUUGAAAACUUUGAAAGAAAAUAGAAGAGGCAUGGAAGAAGGAUUGGGAAUGGAGUGGAAAGAAACAAAAAAAGAGACCUUUUGUUAUAUGCCAGCCAGUGUUUGUUUUGAACUACAUGAAUGCAUUGCUAAUAAAAUAAAUUAAAUU
rnacentral:lncRNA from 1 species